rnacentral:lncRNA from 1 species
GAUGGGUAUCAGGCCUGGACCAGGUUUGAUUCUAUAACGGUCCAGCAUCGACGGCCAUCACUGCUGAAUCGAGGCUGUUGCUCUGGCCUGGACCAGUAUCUAUUUCAGUCCCGAUGUAGUCAUAGCUGAUACAGUAAUGUCUGUUCGUCAGCACUGGUCCAGGCUGUAUAUCAGUACUGGAUCAGAUCGAUGCUUUUCAAGAUGGCAGCCCCGCGUGGACUACCUGACAUGUUUUGUUAAAGAAAAUCAUCUUAAUCUGACUCUUUAAGAGAAAUCUCGUUGGCUGUAUACACUAGGGCUAAAUCACUGGAUGUUAUUAUUGAGCCAAACAUUGAAACAGAGCCAGAAGACCUUUCUGCAAUAAUCAUGACACUAGUGAAGACGAUGAGAAAUCAGGCGUAAAAAUGGUUCACUACAUGUGAUUGUAACUAUGUUUUUAAUUAGGGUGAAUGUAUUAGUGAUCAUGAUGAUGAAGAUAUUGUACUGAGAGACUUAUGAAUGAUAGUCACAAAAUUUUUGAUACGAAAGAUUAUUCUGGAAAUAUUAGUAUAGCCACUAGUAUACAUUCUAUAGUUACCUUAUCUCACUAAGUUUCAAGACAAGAAUAUCUUAGGUUUGUUUAAUUUCAUGUGAAAAGCUAAAUUCAUUAUUCAGGUUGUGAUGAACUGAAACUUUCUUGUUUAAAGCUCUUGUUAAGUUCACUUCAAAUAGCAUUGAUUUUUUUUGUGAACCUGCCUUCAUCAUGCUGGUUAAGGAAGUUAUGUUAUGGAUCUAAGCUUUGUAGGACUAUGUGUUACAAGAUACCUUUGAAAGAUCUGCUUCACUACAUGGAACCCCAGAGUUCAUUAAUGUUGGGAGAUUUUGGGAAAUUAAUUUCUCAGUAAUGUGUCUUAAGUUACAAAACAUGAAGUGUUUUACUUGUGGAACAUUGGUAGACUAUGAUGAAGAAAACAAUUAUAAUCUUUUUUUGGUUUUAAUAAUAAUUCCAAAUCAUUUUAAAUUAAUAA